rnacentral:rRNA from 1 species
UGGGGAAUUUUGGACAAUGGGCGAAAGCCUGAUCCAGCAAUGCCGCGUGUGUGAAGAAGGCCUUCGGGUUGUAAAGCACUUUUGUCCGGAAAGAAAUCCUCUGGGUUAAUACCUCGGGGGGAUGACGGUACCGGAAGAAUAAGCACCGGCUAACUACGUGCCAGCAGCCGCGGUAAUACGUAGGGUGCAAGCGUUAGUCGGAAUUACUGGGCGUAAAGCGUGCGCAGGCGGUUUUGUAAGACGGAUGUGAAAUCCCCGGGCUUAACCUGGGAACUGCAUUCGUGACUGCAAGGCUAGAGUAUGGCAGAGGGGGGUAGAAUUCCACGUGUAGCAGUGAAAUGCGUAGAGAUGUGGAGGAAUACCGAUGGCGAAGGCAGCCCCCUGGGCCAAUACUGACGCUCAUGCACGAAAGCGUGGGGAGCAAACAGGAUUAGAUACCCUGGUAGUCCACGCCCUAAACGAUGUCAACUAGUUGUUGGGGAUUCAUUUCCUUAGUAACGUAGCUAACGCGUGAAGUUGACCGCCUGGGGAGUACGGUCGCAAGAUUAAAACUUAAAUGAAUUGACGGGGUCAUAGCUGUUUCCU